rnacentral:rRNA from 1 species
GACGAACGCUGGCGGCGUGCUUAACACAUGCAAGUCGAGCGGUAAGGCCCUUUCGGGGGUACGACGAGCGGCGAACGGGUGAGUAACACGUGGGUGACCUGCCCUCAGCUCUGGGAUAAGCCUGGGAAACCGGGUCUAAUACUGGAUAUGACUCCAUGACGCAUGUUGUGGGGUGAAAGCCUUGUGCGGCUGAGGAUGGGCCCGCGGCCUAUCAGCUUGUUGGUGGGGUGANGGCCUACCAAGGCGGCGACGGGUAGCCGGCCUGAGAGGGCGACCGGCCACACUGGGACUGAGACACGGCCCAGACUCCUACGGGAGGCAGCAGUGGGGAAUCUUGCGCAAUGGGCGAAAGCCUGACGCAGCGACGCCGCGUGAGGGAUGAC